UCCGAAGGGGGCUAUCGUUGUUCGGAAUCACUGGGCGUAAAGCGCACGUAGGCGGAUUGUUAAGUCAGGGGUGAAAUCCCGAGGCUCAACCUCGGAACUGCCUUUGAUACUGGCGAUCUAGAGUCCGGGAGAGGUGAGUGGAACUGCGAGUGUAGAGGUGAAAUUCGUAGAUAUUCGCAAGAACACCAGUGGCGAAGGCGGCUCACUGGCCCGGAACUGACGCUGAGGUGCGAAAGCGUGGGGAGCAAACAGG
rnacentral:rRNA from 1 species